rnacentral:sRNA from 1 species
UGACCAUCCCCCAUCCGGGGGGAUCGAGGCUACACGGACGGCCGGGUCAAAUGCCGA